rnacentral:rRNA from 1 species
AGUGAACGCUGGCGGUAGGCCUAACACAUGCAAGUCGAACGGCAGCACAGGAGAGCUUGCUCUCUGGGUGGCGAGUGGCGGACGGGUGAGGAAUACAUCGGAAUCUGCCCAGUCGUGGGGGAUAACGUAGGGAAACUUACGCUAAUACCGCAUACGACCUUCGGGUGAAAGAGGGGGAUCGCAAGACCUCUCGCGAUUGGAUGAGCCGAUGUCGGAUUAGCUAGUUGGCGGGGUAAUGGCCCACCAAGGCGACGAUCCGUAGCUGGUCUGAGAGGAUGAUCAGCCACACUGGAACUGAGACACGGUCCAGACUCCUACGGGAGGCAGCAGUGGGGAAUAUUGGACAAUGGGCGCAAGCCUGAUCCAGUCAUACCGCGUGGGUGAAGAAGGCCUUCGGGUUGUAAAGCCCUUUUGUUGGGAAAGAAAUCUUUCAGGCUAAUACCCUGGGAGGAUGACGGUACCCAAAGAAUAAGCACCGGCUAACUUCGUG